rnacentral:lncRNA from 1 species
UUACACUUUUUAGGAAGAAAUUUCCUGGCGAUGCAGAGCUGCAAGUCUCACCCAAGAGGCUGAGACAGGAGGAUGGAAGCUAGCCUAGACUACAUGGAGAAUUCCAGGCCAGUCUCACAUUUUUUUGAUAAAACUUCCUGCCCAUGUCCAGAGUGGAUGGACUAAUGCACAGAAAAGGGGGCACACCAACCGCACAGACAGUUCUGAAGAGAAGGACAGAUAACCAGUAAAGGAACCCAGCAUCUCCAGGGACCAGGGAAUUGCAAAUGGAAAGUCCGCAGAGGUUCCAUUUCACCCUGGCCAGAACGGCCACCAGCAAGAAACCGGACCAAACCAUGAAUGCUAAUGAGGAUUUGAGGGGGAAAGAGCACAUAUAUGCUGAUCGUGGAUUAAUGUCUUGCCGAAGAGCUGGCUGCCUGGUGGCUCAGUCAUGUUGACAUAAAAUGAGCCAACCUUUGACUGGAUCCUCUGUGCUCUCUUCUGUCAUUUUAUAGCACCCUGUGACUCUUAAAAAGUGAACGUUCUUUUUUGCUCUGGGAAGUUCUUUCUCCUGUUACAGUCUCCCAACUCAAGAUUUUAAAUAGAAAUCAACACAGGCUUCUCCUGUUUGUUUUCUGCCAUCUACCCUUUUCCCCACAAGACGACACAUGCUCCCAAGAAGCUUCCUUCAUUUCGAAUGUUCAAAGAGGACUCUGCAGGAGAGACAGCCACUGGUUUUUGGCAGCAGGGCAGCUCUGCAGUGACAACCAAGCACUCGCACAAGGGGCAACGGCAGGUGCCAACAUCCCUGCUUGAUCAGACAGUUUAUGAGAUGGCAGGAGAAGACAGACCUUAUCUUCAGGUGCUGUGUGAUUAUGCUAUUGCUCUGGCAGUGAGAGAGCAGAAGGCUGGCAAGAGCUGAUGUCCCCAUUGAGGGAGAGGAACCACAGUUCCUUCAGAGGCCAAAAGAAACCGCAGAGGCGAAACCCCCAAACCACACUCCAGUAGAUACAGCCUCUGGGGCUCCAAACUCUUCAGAACCCGUCAGAUGGGAGGGAAAGGCAUGGCUAUUUUCCAGCCAGAGGCCCAGGCUUGAAGAAAUGAAUGGCAUCUCCAUGCAAGACAGACAGCUGCCAAAAGUCCCUCUCCUAGUAGCACUGAGGUCUCAAGGAAGAGCCCACAUGCCUGGGCAGAACCUUCCAGGCUCUGGUACAAAGGCUUCUGUCCCCCCUCCCCCUCCCCACCUUUAUUCAUUUUCCACUGAUUUUUUUUUUCUUUCUGUGAGCCUAUGACAAGAGGAAGAAACUAAUCAUAAAACCUGAUCAUAAAAUUCCUUCCUACACUUG